rnacentral:rRNA from 1 species
AGUUGUUGGGUGGUAACAAUGAUUUCACCUGCUCAGUGCUGGAUUGUAAAUAGCUGCAGUAUAUUGACUGUACUAAGGUAGCAUAAUCAAUAGUUUUUUAAUUGGAGGCUGGUAUGAAAGGUUGAUACUAUAUAGGUAGUUUUAUUAAUUUAUUUUGAAUUUAAGUUAGUAGUAAAAACGCUUUUAUUAGUCCUUGGGACGAGAAGACCCUAGAAGCUUUAAAUGUAUAUAUAUUUUAGUUGGGGCGAUUAAUGAAGAUAAAAAUCUUUAAUUUUUUUGUAUUGUUAAAUAAGUUACUCUAGGGAUAACAGCGUAAUUUAAUUUGAGAGUUCUUAUUAAAAAUUAAGUUUGCGACCUCGAUGUUGAAUUAAAUGGAAAUAAGGUGUAGGAGCUUUAUAGUUGUAGUCUGUUCGACUAUUAAAUUUUUACA